CAGAAACCAAGUAAAGAGACCAUGGGAAGAGAGCCAUGGACUAUCUAACAACAAUCCCAGUGCCAGGCAGAGGAAAGCUUCAAGUUUGGUCAAGAGAGUUAUCUCCCAGUAAUAUAAGCUAUUGCUGCUGCCGUUGGUAGUCUACCAGAACUCAGAGGCGUUGACACUAUUGCUAAAAAUCCCACAUACUUCACACCCAAGACUUGGAAGAAUCAAGCUGAACUGACCUGGAAGCCUCCUCCCUGAAGACUAGCUCUCUGAGCGCCUGAAGAUACUACGCAGGCUGCCAGAGGAGAAAAGCCACCAGCAGUCCUACCCAGCUGUGAAGCCUACGAACCACACAGACCAGCACAGCCAUAGAGCCUCAAGGGUAAAAUGGUAGCACUUAAACCUGGGGCAACCACAGCUGUCUAUCGGAAGGUAAGGCCCACUCAGUAGGAAUGAAUUCAUGACUGGCUGUGGUGCCAAUGGUUAGGAGCCCGGAAGGAGAACCUACAACUCUACAACUGCUAUUUUCCUAGAUCAGUACCGUUCCUAAC
rnacentral:lncRNA from 1 species